GACGCCAGGCCCGGCCCCACGACCCCCAGCUGUGACUGGAGGUGACAUAGAGCGUUGCUCUGCCGAGAACAUGGGGUUCAUGCCAGAAACCCCAAGCACAUGGUGAAAGGAGUCCCCUUCGUGUCACUUGAAUGGAUUCGAAGGACUUUUCCUGAUAUGCAAGAGCAAUGAGGACAUGCAGGGCGCCUGAACCCCGGAGGGGACCUCGCACUCCAGGAAAGGGGCGCAAGGACAUUCCAGUACACACCUGGCCGGGAGGCUGCACCACCCCGGACUUGUAGCAGGGGACAAUGGGCCUCCCACGCAGCCAGGCCACCCAAGACAGGGCACCCUCCCGGCGGGCCAUGGUACAGACCCCCCAGCUUUGGCCCGCCCAAGUUGGUGCUCGGAUCAGCCCCUUCCCGAAAAGAGAUGGCUCAAACUGUCUUGACAUGGCCACCCCUCCCGGCCUCCAGGGGUGGGCACAACACCCUGCCUGCACCAGGUCUGGGGGAGGGGGUCUGCAG